CAAUGAGAUGGAAUGAAGAACAGGCAUUCUUCAGUUUUGGAGCACAACCAGAAGGCCCUGUCUCAUUAUGAAGGGCAUCCUGGAAGAGAGCAGUCAUCAGCACGGUGAUCACACGCACACAGAGCUGGACGCUGUGAUGGGAAACGUCCUCUAUCAAGCCCUGCGUGGAGACUGUGGAGGUGUGGAGACAUCACCUUCCUGAGCAGCAAUAUUUCCUGGAUUACAUUUUCAGCCAUUUUGGCUCUGACAGUCUCACGCUUCAUGUUCUUAAGCCUCCACGUUCACGAGGACGGACACAAUCACGACCAUGCAGAGGAAAACUUGGACUAUGUGUACAAACUGCUGGUGCUUAUUGCGGGCAUCUGUUUCUACUACGUGAUGGAAGGCAUCUUCUCCAUCAUUACCAGCAGAGAAUAUCACCAUAAUCAUGAUGAAGAGUCUGAUGUUCAUCACUGUGAUCACGGACGAUGUUCCUGCAGAUGUUCCAGAACAAACACUCCAACUCACAGGU